AACCUUUACACUGCACGACAGUGCGAUAAGGGAAUCCCAAGUGCGUAGGCAUAGAGCCUACGCUUUUGUCCACCGUAGGGAGGUGGACGAAUAAGGGCUGGGCAAGACCGGUGCCAGCCGCCGCGGUAACACCGGCAGCCCGAGUGAUGGCCGAUAUUAUUGGGCCUAAAGCGUCCGUAGCUGGCCGCACAAGUCCGUCGGGAAAUCCACUCGCUUAACGAGUGGGCGUCCGGCGGAAACUGUGCGGCUUGGGACCGGAAGAUCCGAGGGGUACGUCCGGGGUAGGAGUGAAAUCCCGUAAUCCUGGACGGACCACCGAUGGCGAAAGCACCUCGGAAGGACGGAUCCGACAGUGAGGGACGAAAGCUAGGGUCUCGAACCGGAUUAGAUACCCGGGUAGUCCUAGCCGUAAACGAUGCUCGCUAGGUGGUGGCGCAGGCUACGAGCCUGCGCUGUGCCGUAGGGAAGCCGUGAAGCGAGCCGCCUGGGAAGUACGUCUGCAAGGAUGAAACUUAA
rnacentral:rRNA from 1 species